UACAGAGGUGGCAAGCGUUGUUCGGAAUUACUGGGCGUAAAGGGCGCGUAGGCGGUUCGUUAAGUCCUGUGUGAAAUCCCCCGGCUCAACUGGGGAACUGCACAGGAAACUAGCGGGCUUGAGUUCGGGAGAGGGAUGCAGAAUUCCAGGUGUAGCGGUGAAAUGCGUAGAUAUCUGGAGGAAUACCGGUGGCGAAGGCGGCAUCCUGGACCGAGAUUGACACUGAUGAGCGAAAGCUAGGGGAGCAAACGGG
rnacentral:rRNA from 1 species